rnacentral:misc_RNA from 1 species
GAUGAAGAACGUAGCGAAAUGCGAUAAGUAGUGUGAAUUGCAGAAUUCAGUGAAUCAUCGAAUCUUUGAACGCACAUUGCGCCCCUUGGUAUUCCAUGGGGCAUGCCUGUUCGAGCGUCAUUUGUACCUUCAAGCUCUGCUUGGUGUUGGGUGAUUGUCUAUCUUUGUAGACUCGCCUUAAAGUCAUUGGCAGCCGGCAUAUUGGCCUGGGAGCGCAGCACAAGUCGCGCUUCUUGUCAUGAAUGUUGGCGUCCAGUGAGUCUACAUAUUUUGCUCUUGACCUCGGAUCAGGUAGGGAUACCCGCUGAACUUAAGCAUAUCAAUAAGCGGAGGA